GAGCUUGGAGCCGCAGGGCUUAAUCCCGCGCGGCUCAGAGAUGGGUUUCUGGACUCGCGAAGCAGCUGCAACAAGGCAUCACUCACUGUAUAAGUAUUUCCAUUUCUGAGAGCAAAAGGAAGAACUUAAGCGGGCGGCACUUGGAGUGUAAAUUGCUUUGUAGUAUUUAAAGGCAGAAUGGAUCCUGGGCAGCCGAGCUGAUCAUGAGGUUCCUGAGGCCUCCUAGCCAUGCUUCCUGUGCAGCCUAUGGAACUGAUCACUGUUGUAUUUUUAAACCUUAUUCCUGGAAGCACUACGGAUAUCAGAUCAAUUUAGAAAGCCAAAGAGUACCUCUGGGAAUGAAAUGGUAGUAAUAGAAACAAUAUUUGGCCAAACUAUCGCUGUAUGCCAAUGAUGCCAAAAAUCACAGUAACCUGGCAGCAACAAACCGGCAGGACUUCCUGUGAAAUCAUGACCACCAUGUGCUCUUUCAGCCUCUAUCAGUUCCUACCUCUAAGCACCUGAGAGCCAAAGCAAACCACAGGAAACCACAGACUCAAACUAAACGUCAGCUUUUCCCGGCUCUCAAGCCUGCUGGUCCCUGAACUAAAACUCACAUUAUCAACUCUACUGGUUCUUAGGCCUUUGGAGUCAGACUGGAACUACAGCAUUGACUCUUCCGGAACUCCAGCUUACUGACUACAGAUCUUGGAACUUUUCAGCUUCCACAACCAUAAUGAAAGCCAAGCAUAUUCCAUCAUUUCCUAAAACCAAGAUAGAGCACAUAUGGGAACUUGUGAAAUAAGGAUGCCCUGCGGUUGUUUUCAGGACUGAAGACAACAGCUCCACGAUGUAUCUUUGCAUAAGAAUACACUUGUAUAAUAAGUUUUUUUUUUUAGAGAAAUUGCAUGUAUCUGCCUUAUAAACUUUUUCAUUCAUUCAUUUUCUUUCUUCCUAAUCUGUUCCAUAAAGCAAAUUUCUAACUUAUUGUUAAUCAAAAUAAUUAUUGAAAUAAUUAGUACUUUCAUAUGAUAAAGAUUAUUUUAAUCUGCAGCUACAAAAUAUGUAACUCAUUAAUAUUUAAACAAUCACAAUUUUCUAUUAACAUUAUAGCAUUUUAUCUACUACUAGAUCAGGAAUUAGCUAUUUUUUGUAAAAUUUCUUUGUAAGGCAAAGCAAUAGUAUUGUAUAUACUUUCCUAAAGAUUGUCAAGUUCAGUUUUGCUUAAAUUUAACAGUACAUGUGACACUUUCUGUUUGAAGAAUAAGUUGGUUUUAAGUUUAUACCAAACAAAAGCAUCUCUUUUGUUUUGCAAAAUCUGAAACUUUGAUCUUUCUAGUUGUGACUUCUUGUAAAUAUGUUUUAUAUAAAUAUUCUAUGAAUUGGUUAUUAACAAGGUAAAGAAAGAUUGAUAUGUAAGCUGAUUCUUAAACAUUAAUUUUCUGGAGAUAAACUUUUUUAAAAUUAUGCUUUAAAAAUAUUUUAACACAUGUUAUCAAAAAGGAACUGAAAUAUCUUAGGCAUAAAAGACAUCUCUAGAGGUCAUUAUUCAGUUUCCAGAAAGUACUGAAACUAUCUCUGACAGAUUGAUACGUUUUCUGCAUUUAUAGCUCUCUGGAGAGAGGUUCUGUAUAUUUAACAAUUCUCACUGUGAGGGAUAUUUUAAGUAUUUCAAAUUUAAAGUGCUCAUGUUUCAGAUUCAGAUUAUUAUUAUCAUCAUCAUUAUUUUGGUUCUGGCUUCAGUAAAAAUGUGAAAAACACUUUUCCAUCUUCUGAUAAUAUUUCAUAUUUAUAAAAUUAUUAUUAAGUUAUAACUCAGCUUUUUCAUUUAUGCUUUAAAUCCUUUUAUUAUCUCAUCACAACCAUCUUUGACUGUUUAUCAGAAAUGGUUCUCUUUUGUACAUUGACCAUUAUUUUAUAGAUCACAUUUAAGUUAAUAUAAAUCAUGCCUAUAAAUUUCAGCCUGCUUAUUUUUUAUAAUCUAGUCAGAUAUCAGCUAGACAUAUUGUUACCAAGUUUGGAGAGCCUUGGGAUAAGCUAGUUUCAAAACUGGCUGUUAGCAUCCCUCAGUUGUGUUUUGGGAGCAAAGGACACCCUUAAAAAAGGGAGGCAGUUAUAUUUUGUGAGCAUUAUAAAAUAAACUUAAAUUCUCAUAAAAUUAGUGAAUAUGUUUGGAACAGUGUGAAUUACGUGUGUGCUACAUGAAGUAUAUAGAAUUCAUUUGAAGUAGGAAGUCUGGCCUUACCUCAAAAGACAGUCAUUCAAUUAAGCAGUUAAACAUAAGCCACCAUAAGAAGUUUUUUUGAUACUUAGAGAGAGAAAGGCAACGUGUAUUAAAAUUCCGGGACCAUUAUCUCAGGAGUGCUGUGUUAUUAUUGACUGGGGGCCUGCUGGGAAGCUAGAAAUAUAUCUAAAAUGUGGCAGGUGGUUAAUUAGAGCAUAUGAAUAAAUAUAUAUAAAUUUGUUAAAGCGUUCACUUAUGGUAAACUAUACCUCAAUUAAAAAGAAAAAAUAUGCACAAAGAAAAUAAAUAAUGAAUGGAAAUAUGAGCCUCUAAAAUCAAAGUUAGAAAAGCAGAUAUUCAAAUUUGCAGAGCUGAUUGUCAACUGGAAUGAUUGUGAUAGAAUCAAGUCUCACUAGCUCAUUGGAAAUAGGAUUUGUUAAGGUAAUGAUGGUUAAUGAUUUUUCAGCAUAAUAACAGCCAAGUUAAUGUAUGGGUGCGUGUGUGUAUCCAUAGGUGUAUGUUUUUACAUGCGUAUUUUUAUUGUAAAAUUAACAUGUUUAUUGAAAACAAGAAAGCACAGAAAAUAUCAACUUAAGUAAAGAUCAACAUAAUUUAGUUCAAAAUUAUAUUCAACAGUGCAUUAUUUCAAUGUUUUUUAUCUUAAUCCAUUUGCUUGAAAGCAUUGAUAUAUGCUCCAAAUUUCCUCCCAGAUUCCACUUGGGGAAAUAUUUAGUAUAUUGGAUUAUGAAAUGAUUUAUCUUUACCUAUAUUAUUAGUAAAGUUCUUAAAAUUUUUAGCCUGUUACUGUCUAUGUGAUUAGUGAUAUUGUUCACAUGACUAAAAUUCAAAGAUAAAAUAUGAUUAUAUUUUAUGGGUGAAAGUUAGGAAGCAAAAUAGCAUAUUAAUACAUUUAACUAAAGUAGUAUUCAUUUGGAUAAUCAAGGUCAAACACUUCAAAAAUAAUAAUUUUAAAGUUAAUGCUUUCAAAAAAUAAAUUAGCAAAAAUUAUUUACUUUGUUUCUUAAAAAGAAGAAUUAUUGAAAAAAAUUCUACCAUCAAAAAAUAGUUGUUCUAUGCCUAGUUUAUUUUAGUCACUGAAUAAGACUGAGCCCUUGACCUCAUAUUUUUUCCUGCCUCACCAUUAGCAGUUAGGUUUAGCUAUGCAAACCUUUAUUUAUUCAACAUAUAUAAAAUACUUAGUAUGCAGUAGAUGUUAUUCUAAGUGCUUGGUAGAUAUCAACACAUUUAAUAAUCAAAACAACUCUAAGAGGUAAUUAGUACUAUUAUCUCCAUUUUAUUACUGAGGAAACCAAAGCACAAAGAGAGAAAGAAAAGAAAGAGAAAAAAGGAAGAAAGAAAAGAAAGAUGAAAGAAAGAAAGAGAAAGAAGAGAGAGGGAGAGAGAGAAAGAAAGAGAAGGAAAGAAAGAAGGAAGAAGAAAGAAAGAAAGAAAGAAAGAAAGAAAGAAAGAAAGAAAGAAAGAAAGAAAGAAAGAAAGAAAGAAAGAAAAAAGGAAGGAAGGAAAAGAAACACAUGGAAAGUGCUUCUUUGGACCUUUUAAGUUGCAUUAUCCCAUAAAAUGUGGUGGAUUCAAUGUUGUAUGGCCUGUAAAACUAAGUAAUGAAGGCUGAUAUGUACCCACCUGGCUCUGUCUUGGGAUCACACAACUUGGGAGCCAAAACAGAUUGCAAAUGAUGUUCAAAUCAAGGACUGGCUUAAGGGAGAAAAUCAAUUAUACUGUACAACUCACACUUAAGACCUCAGAGAGAUCUAAGAUGAUUCUUUAUAUAAUUUUUAAAACAAUCACCCCUCUAAGGAGCAUAACAAUGUGUUUUAAAUGUCCUCCCCAUUAUACAGUGAGACUUAUAAGAAUCUCAAGGAUGGUGUCCCAAGGCAAACUCAUGGCAAGAUCAAGAAAGAGAAUGGCCUGUCUUGACAAGAUUUGUGGUUUUGGCUUUCGUCUGAUGGAAUGAAUUGUACACAAAUACACAGAAAUCCCACAAAUAUUAAAAUAAUUGUAUCAACUUGUAAGAAAAAGGGAAAGAAAUAGCUUAAAAUGGAAUAUUGCUAAGCCCUCAAACCUUUACAAGCAGGAAAUAGGUGUAAACAGGCUUAGGAAAAUGGAAGGUGGACUCAGGGCAGAUUGAGGAGAUCUUGGAGUGCAGCAAAGAGCCAUAGAGAGCAAUUUCCAGGGAGUAGGACUGAACUCUAACCAAAUAAUUGGCAGCAUGUGCCUGGCAUUUCAGGAUUGACAUGGACCGGUGACUACUGUGUUCCUUCCCAUUCCCCACCCUUUUGUGUAGGAUUGUCUGUAGCAGUUUCCCAAUGCCUGUUCCUCCACUUGACGUUGGGUAUUUGGAGAACAAGAAAAAUUCUCUUUUUAGGUCAGAUGUGUGACAUGUAUCACAUUGUAAAAAAGAGUGCUCAAUGAGCUGUAUUUCAGGAAUUGCACUUAAGGGGAAUUAUUUUUACCUAUAUUGGAUUAAUAUGAUAAGAUUUUGAACUUUGAGCUUAUGUAAUUAUGAAGUGAGACCUUUAGUCUUGGGGAAUGACUGUAUUUUAUAUGCGAGAGGUAUAUAAAUCACUGUGGCCUGAAGAUAGACUGUGGCAGAUUGUAUUUUUCAAAGAUUUCCUGUCACACUUUUUUUUUAUUCUUUAUUUUUCUCUUUCUUUCUCUUUCCUCUUUCUCUUUCCCUUCCUCCCUUCCUUCCUUCUUUCCUUCCUUCCUUCCUUCCUUCCUUCCUUCCUUCCUUCCUUCCUUCCUUCUUUUCUUUCUUUCUUUCUGAGAGGGUCUCACUCUGUUUCCUGGCUAGAGUGGUGUCACAUUCAUAGCUCACUGUAGCUCAAACUCCUGAGUGCAAACAAUCCUCCUACAUCAGCCUCCCAAGUAGCUUGGACCACAGGUGUGCAUCCACUCCUGGCUAAUUUUUUAAUUUUAAUUUUUGUAGAGACGGGGUCUCACUUUGUUGCUCAGACUGAUCUUGAAUUCCUGGCUUCAAGAGAUCCUGCUGCCUCAACCUCUAAACUUGCUGGGAUUGCAGGUGUGAACCACCAUGCCCAGCUACUUUCUUUUUCUUACAAUAUGCCUUUGAUGCUCUUCCCAUCAAGAGGUAUUCCUUUCCCUUGAAUAUGGGCAAGGCUGUGAUUAUUAAUGCUAUAUGACUUUUGAGAGUAGGUCAUGAAGCAUGAUACAUUUUCCUAGUUCAUUUAGGAUGCUUGCUCUUAAUACCUAGCCCCUAUGCUUGUAUAAGUCCAAGAGACCUGUUGUGGGGAGGCUCACAUGAAGAAGAACGCAGGCACCUAGCCUACAGUCUGAUUGAGCUCUCAUCUGAUAACCCAUAAGAACUUGAGAGCCUUGUGAGUAAACCAUCUUGAAUCUUUCAGGACCCAGUUGAAACACUUCAGCUGAUGCUGCAUGGAUCAUUGCGGAUUUGUGAGCAAAAUAAAUUAAUAUAGCUUUUUGUUUUAAUUAAACAAUAUUUUUUGAGACAAGAUCUCAUUUUGUCACCCAGGUGGGAGUACAGUGGCACAUUCACAGAUCACUGUAGCCUCAAAUUCCUAAGCACAGGAGGUCCUCCCACCUCAGCCUCCCCAGUAGCUGAGACCACAGCAUGUGCCACUGUGUCUGGCUAAUUUUUUAUUUUUUUGUAGAAACGGAGUCUUGCUAUGUUGCCCAGGCUGGCCUCAUGUGAUCCACUUGCCUCAGUCUUCCAAAUUGUUGGGAUUACAAGUGUGAGGCACUGCACUGAGCCCAAUAUUCCUUUUUAAGCUACUAAGUUUUGGACUGAUUUGCUUCCCAGCAGUAUACGAUUGAUAAAACACAGAAUAUAGAAUAAAAUUAAUCUCUUAUGUUGUCCUAUGAGGCUUUGUGAGAUUUAGUUUCUACCAACACCCCAAAGUCAUGUCAUACCAUUUUUCACUGUGCUUACUUUGCUUCACUGACUUUUCUCCUGUUUUCUAAAACUAGCUAGUUCUUAUCUUCAGGCUUUGUCAUUGUCAUUCCCUGCUGAGAAUAUUGUCUGUCCAAAUCUUGUAAUUCAGACUCAAAAAUAGUCUGUGGCCACUCAAUCUAAAGUAACCCACCACAAACUCUAGCCCAUCUCCCUAUUUAUUUUCAUCAUGAUAUUUAUAUCUAUCUCAUCUAAAUUUUAUCUAUUUGUCAUCUAUCUAAUUGAAAUUUCAUGUUUCUUUACUACUAAUACGCAAGCUCUGUUAAGACAGAAGUAUUUAGUUUAAUUAGAUCCCAUUUGUCAAUUUUGGUUUUUGUUGCCAUUGCUCUUGGUGUUUUAGACAUGAAGUCUUUGCCCAUGCCUAUGUUCUGAAUGGUAUUGCCUAGGUUUUUGUCUAGGAUUUUUAUGGUUUUAGGUCUAACAUUUAAGUCUUUAAUCCAUCUUGAAUUAAUUUUUGUAUAAGGCGUAAGGAAGGGAUCCAGUUUCAGCUUUCUACAUAUGGCUAGUCAGUUUUCCCAGCACUAUUUCUUAAACAGGGAAUCCUUUCCCCGUUUCUUGUUUUUGUCAGGUUUGUCAAAGAUCAGAUAGUUGUAGAUAUGUGGCAUUAUUUCUGAGGGCUCUGUUCUAUUCCAUUGGCCUAUAUCUCUGUUAUAGGGACACUUUUACACUGUUGGUGGGACUGUAAACUAGUUCAACCACUGUAGAAGUCAGUGUGGCGAUUCCUCAGGGAUCUAGAACUAGAAAUACCAUUUGACCCAGCCAUCUCAUUACUGGGUACAUACCCAAAGGAUUAUAAACCAUGUUGCUAUAAAGACACAUGCACACGUAUGUUUAUUGUGGCACUAUUCAUAAUAGCAAAGACUUGGAACCAACCCAAAUGUCCAACAAUGAUAGACUGGAUUAAGAAAAUGUGGCACAUAUACACCAUGGAAUACUAUGCAGCCAUAAAAAAUGAUGAGUUCAUGUCCUUUGUAGAGACAUGGAUGAAGCUGGAAACCAUCAUUCUCAGCAAACUAUUGCAAGGACAAAAAACUGAACACCACAUGUUCUCACUUGUAGGUAGGAAUUGAACAAUGAGAACACAUGGACACAGGAAGGAGAACAUCACACACCGGGGCCUGUUGUGAGGUGGGGGGAGCGGGGAGGGAUAGCAUUUGGAGAUAUACCUAAUGUAAAUGACGAGUUAAUGGGUGCAGCACCCCAACAUGGCACAUGUAUACAUAUGUAACAAACCUGCACGUUGUGCACAUGUACCCUAGAACUUAAAGUAUAAUAAAAAAAAAAGAAAAAAAAGAAAGACAGAAGUAUUGUUCAUCUUGUUUUCUUCCCUAAUCACGUUACCUAGA
rnacentral:lncRNA from 1 species